CCGGCAGGCUGCUUUAUCGCCCCGAUAGCUAUCGGGGAGGAAAGUCCGGGCAACGCAGGGCGCCGUGCUUCCUAACGGGAAGAUCUUUGAAAGAAGAUAGCAGCGUAACAGAAAAUAACCAUCCCCGAGUACUCGGGGGAACGGGUGAAAAGGUGGGGUAAAAGCCCACCGGUGGUUGUGGCGACACAGCCAGCCGUACGCCUCACGGGUUGCAAAGCCAAAUAUAUCCUGAUUGCGCGGCUGUUGCAGCGCAGCGAAGUUGCCCGCUUCGUUUCCGGAUGCACAUCGGACGUCAGGAGGGGUAGGCUGCAAGGAUUCCGGCAGUGAUGCCGGAACAAGAUAAAUGAUAAAGGUCCUGAUGAAAAUCGGGAUACAGAACCCGGCUUACAAGCCUGCCAUUUUU
rnacentral:RNase_P_RNA from 1 species